AUAGUGUGUUUUCGAUUCAUGGUACUGAAGAUUGGACAGAGCGCCAGUAGACCACAGAUUCGGAUAUGGACCCUUCAUCGCAGAGGGCAGUGGAAGAAGAAGUAGUAAGUCAUAUCCCGACUGGGAGUGAUAUUGGAAAUCGGGGAGAUCCUGCUCCACCAGUGCAAGAGGUGCCUGUACAACCCCAACAGGCCUUGUUUAAGCAGAUGACUGGAUUCUUUCGACAGAUGACUGGGGUUGUUCCACCAUUGUCUCAGUAGAAAUCACCUCUAGGAAAAAUUAGGAAGUAUGGAGCUGUAGAUUUCAAUGGUCGAAAGGAAGACGAUUCUGCAGCGGCUAAGUAUUGGUUAGAAAGGACUGAAAGAGUCCUGCAGCAGCUCCAUUGCACACCAGAACAGAGUUUGGAGUGUGCAGUUUCGUUGUUACAAGAAGCUGCAUAUCGAUGGUGGGAUGUCGUAACCAAGGUAGUGCCACCAACAGACAUAACUUGGAAAUUCUUUCUGAUAGAGUUCAGAAAGAAAUAUAUUAGCUGUGUUCAUGAAGAGGAACAGAAGAGGAGUGGUGAUCAGCAAAAGAGGAAAUUUGGACAGUCUAGUAAUAAGAGGCCGAGAGAACAGUUAAGUCAGACAUAUGAUCAAAGUAGGAGAUCUAGACCCAAGCCUAUAUCCAGGAGAGAUCAACCAGAAACACUAAUAGUGAGUGCGCCAGGAUUAGCAAGAAAAUGUGGCCAUUGUAACAAGUGGCAUAAAGGUGAAUGUAGGGGAUUGACUGGAGCCUGUUAUAGAUGUGGGGCCAUAGACCAUCGUCUGAAAGAUUGUCCUAAGAGGAAUUUACCACGGACCCAGACAGAGGUCGUGGAAGGACCAAGUACAACAGUAACACCACUUCCAAAUGUUACCCAAGUCGGAGAGGAACAAGAAGCCCCAGAUGUGAAUUUGA
rnacentral:misc_RNA from 1 species